rnacentral:misc_RNA from 1 species
AUGCGAUAAGUAAUGUGAAUUGCAGAAUUCAGUGAAUCAUCGAAUCUUUGAACGCACAUUGCGCCCGCCAGUACUCUGGCGGGCAUGCCUGUUCGAGCGUCAUUACAUCCCUCAAGCCCCAGCGGCUUGGUGUUGGGCUUCGGCCGUCCUCAGCGGCGGCCGUGCCCCAAAUACAGUGGCGGUCUCGCCCCCGGCUCCUCUGCGUAGUAGUAACAUCUCGCACUGGGACGGAGCGAAGGCCACGCCGUAAAACAACCCAACUUUCUGAAUGUUGACCUCGGAUCAGGUAGGAAUACCCGCUGAACUUAA